ACUAAUUGAGUAUACCUGCUGUAUGCUAAUAGAUAAAGCAGAUUGGUACCACGCCGCUGCCACAAUACUACUCGCCGAUGAUCUGACAUUAUAUUCUGAAAUAACUAAUCAAGUAUCAGCAGAUACCAAAAUCUAAAAGGUAUAGCAGAUACUAGAGGAGAGAUCAACUGACAUUAUUAUAAUCUUAAACAAGUAAUCAAAAAAGUAUCAGUAGAUACUAGUAGAAUCUGAAAAGUAUCAGCAGAUACUAGAGGUGUUGAAGAACCGAACGAUGCAGGCACCGGAUCUCGUAGACACCGGCGCGUGGACUCCGGCAUGGAGCUGUUCGAUGGGGGUAAAGCAUGGACUCCGGUGUGCUCGCGUAGCCAGGCACGCCCUGUCUCCCUGGCUGAGCAUCACCCCUCAAUCGCCACCAGCUCUUCCAGAUCUGUGUGGCGCGCCGUGGACGUGGAAGAGGAUGAACUCUAGCCCAACGUAGAGGGCGACGAGGAGGCCACAGGCCUCGGCACGAACGCGAACAGUGUCAUCGCCGGUGGUGGCAUGGGGCCGAUGAGGAGGCCGUGCGCACGGAGUCGCUUGCCGCCGCCGCUUGCGGGGUCGGAGCCGGGAGGAGAGAGGCGCUGCUCGUUAUUGAAAUAGUCGGCGACUCGGCGUAUAUCAGACGGCACGGAAACCAUAUAUCCUCUAUCGGGUCUAUCAUUUAUGGACCCGCUAAGAGUGAGCGAAGUUUGUUUUGGACGAGGAUUAGCCCGCAUCGGUGGAGAGCUAGACUCGGAAGGAG
rnacentral:lncRNA from 1 species